GGGGAAUUUUGGACAAUGGGGGCAACCCUGAUCCAGCCAUGCCGCGUGAGUGAAGAAGGCCUUCGGGUUGUAAAGCUCUUUCGGCCGGGAAGAAAUCGCGCCAGCUAAUACCUGGUGUGGAUGACGGUACCGGAAGAAGAAGCACCGGCUAACUACGUGCCAGCAGCCGCGGUAAUACGUAGGGUGCGAGCGUUAAUCGGAAUUACUGGGCGUAAAGCGUGCGCAGGCGGUUUUGUAAGACAGGUGUGAAAUCCCCGGGCUUAACCUGGGAACUGCGCUUGUGACUGCAAGACUUGAGUGCGGCAGAGGGGGGUGGAAUUCCACGUGUAGCAGUGAAAUGCGUAGAGAUGUGGAGGAACACCGAUGGCGAAGGCAGCCCCCUGGGUCGACACUGACGCUCAUGCACGAAAGCGUGGGGAGCAAAC
rnacentral:rRNA from 1 species